UCUUUGCUAGUAUAUCGGUUAGUACACGCGCUUGUCAUGUGUAUGCUUUACAGAAUACGGUGCGCGCGAAAGCUGGGUUCGACUCCCAGGCAGAGAG